AUGGCCGCUGACCAGCUCCAGCUGCGGGAUUUACGCAGCGCCAGGCUCAGGCCCAGGUACAGACCUGCAGAAAAGAGACAGAGACACCCACAGCAACACAAGCACAACCCACAGACCUCACGGGUCUUUGUAUUACUGUGGUUGACUUUUGGUGGAGGAACCAGACUGGAUGUUGGAAGUGAUGUCCGUCCCACCCUGACGGUGCUGCCCCCCUCCAGUGAGGAGCUGCAGCAGGGGAAGGCCACGCUCAUGUGCCUGGCCAACAAGGGCUUCCCCUCAGACUGGAGUCUGGCCUGGAAGGUGGACGGCAGCAGCAGCAGCAGCAGCUGGGAGGAGAGCAGGAGCCCCGGGGUGCUGGAGAAGGACGGCCGCUACAGCUGGAGCAGC